AAGAUGGGGAAAUUAAUUUCCAAAAGGCUUGGAGUGUUUGUGAUGAUAUUUGUGUUUGCUAUAGGUAUAGCAGAAUGUAGAAAACUUGAGAAGGAAACCCUUGGAGGUGGUUUUGGUGGAGGCGUCGGAGGAGGGGUUAGUGGUGGCCAUGGUGGUGGUUUAGGUGGAGGCUUUGGAGGUGGAAAAGGUGGUGGGGUAGGAGUUGGAGGUGGAGCCGGUGCAGGUGGUGGUGGCGAUCUUGGAGGUG
rnacentral:lncRNA from 1 species